rnacentral:rRNA from 1 species
UACGUAGGGGGCUAGCGUUGUCCGGAAUCAUUGGGCGUAAAGCGCGUGUAGGCGGCCCGGUAAGUCCGCUGUGAAAGUCGGGGGCUCAACCCUCGGAUGCCGGUGGAUACUGUCGGGCUUGAGUACGGAAGAGGCGAGUGGAAUUCCUGGUGUAGCGGUGAAAUGCGCAGAUAUCAGGAGGAACACCAGUGGCGAAGGCGGUGCUCUGGGCCGGAACUGACGCUGAUGAGCGAAAGCGUGGGGAGCAAACAGG